UUCUAUGUCUACAGUUAUAUUUCUAAAAUCAACAUCAAAAACAUCACGACAAUUUAGCGUAAGCAACCUCUAUUCGCAGCUAAAAUGUUUGUGUGUCAAGAGAUAUCUGCCUUGUGGACAAUGCGAACACAAUGUCAUCAAGCCGGAGUACCAUCCAGGAUCGAUCAAGUAUCGCAUUCAAUUGUUUGCUAACUACCAUGUGCCCGACGUUCUGCUUGUGCGUUGUGAAAAGCCUUGCACGUCCACUCAAUUGAUUUUUAAGCUAACUAACCCAAGGAUGUACGAUAUGACCACAACCAUUAUGAACCUCCCAACCAAGGAAGGGGAAAGACGAAUGAUCGACUUCGAAUAAAAGUUCAACGAAAGGAACCAAAAUUCACCACUUGAAAAAGUCCAAUAAAGUUUCUUGAUGAAAUAUACUUUUGUGAAUACAUACACACGCCCGAAAAGAAAGAACUUCAAAAACACUUUGAAAUUGUUUGUAAAAGUUGGUCAAAUUGAAGCCUAGAUUUAUUUUUAUACAUAUCUAGAAAAUAAUCUUUUUUUGCUAACAACUUGUUUAUUUAUUUUGAGCUAUAGUUUAAUUUUGUAUACAUUGUAUA